CCAUAGGUUGAGGAGGCGGUGACCGUGGAGGAGGAGGAUGAGGUAGCCAACACUGUUUUUUUUUAUUAAAUAUAUCUUUUUUUUUUUAUUGGGUUAGCCCCCAAAAUAUUGGCACAUAUAAAAAAAGACAACUCUGUUCCGCAGAGUAGCUGUUGACAUAAUAGUUGCGCAGGAACUUUGUUGACUCUAGAGAACCUCGGGCAAAUCGCACAUCCUCGUGGCGGCAACUUUGCAUGCGGAUAUCAUCCAUAUCAACUUUUCGAUGCCAGUUUCUACACCUACAAUGGUGACCAUGGGUAAUGGGGAAUCAGGGUUCCAUUUUGUACAGGGACCCUGAGAAACGGCUACCACAUGCAAGGAAGGCAAUAGG